rnacentral:lncRNA from 1 species
UAAAUUUAAAGAUUCCUUUUUCCGGUGCACUAACAAGUAAUGUGCAAGUAUUAAAUUAUAAAUAAACAGCAUCACCCAAUCUCCAAUCGGUAUUUUAAUUUGUUACUAAUCAAUUUUUGUGGUUGAUAAACUUACAGGGGGAUGGCCCGAUGCACCUGGUGGAGAAUAUGCUUGGGGAUAUUGCUAUAUUAGGCAAGUUAGCCAUGGGUCCGACUACUGUUAUCCUUACUGUCCAUGUCCCUUGCCAGGGCAAUACUAUGGCCGAGGUCCAAUUCAACUCACUUGGUAGGCUGAACAUUUUGAAUUAGUAUAUCAUUGUCUGAUCUGAAUGAGAAAGUCUUGCCCUCUUGAAUUGAAAACUUGUUAAAUGUGCAUUUACAUUCUAUCCAACAUUAAUUAUUCACUAACUUGUUCGUGUACAGGAAUUGCAAUUACUUAAGGUGCGGAGAAGCCUUGGGGGUGGACUUGUUGAACAAUCCAGACCUUCUUGCCACUGAUCCAGUACUAUCAUUCAAGUCAGCAAUCUGGUUCUGGAUGACUGCACAGCCACCAAAGCCAUCGUGCCACGAAGUCAUUAUCGACGAAUGGAAACCAUCAGCAAAUGACGUAAACGCCGGCCGGCUUCCGGGAUACGGUCUAACCACAAAUAUAAUCAACGGUGGAAUUGAAUGUGGCAAAGGUUGGGAAUGACGCUGUACGUAACCGUAUUGGGUUCUUUACCACUUUCUGUGGCAAGUUUGGGAUUCAGCCUGGUGACAAUCUUGAUUGCUCCAACCAACGGCCUUAUGGCCUUAAUCUGAUGGCACAAUCUAUGUGAUCAUCAUGAUCAACGUUUUAGUAAAAUAAGCUUAAUAAAAGCUACUUAAUAAAAACUUUAGAUGUCACACUUCUAGGUGGACAACUAAACUGUUACGCUCUUAUUGUAAGUAAAUUAAAUAAGACUGAUCCAACAUGGAUCAAUGAGUCUUCUCCAUCUUUCAUCGUUUGAUUAUUUUAACAUGACAAUUAUUUGCAACGCAAAAAGUGCCGUUGACACUUAUCCUGCCUAUACAGAUAAAGGCAAUAUCCAAUUCUGUAAGCCACAUGCAUAUUCAACGGCAUUGCUAUUCAUCAUCAUGAUGCUCAUUGUGGUAGAGAUUAUAAAAUUUUGAUUAGGUCUGCUAUCCAACGUGGCUUGUCUCUCACUUGGAGGAAAUGCCUGGCAAACGAGUCAUGCAUGCAUCAAAUCAUUAUGAAGUUAGUACGCGUAUUGCUGCAGAAAUCACCCUACUACAAAGACAGCUAGAACAUUUUUGGAUACCUAAGCCCUGGGAAGUUAGUCUACCAUGUGGAUCUCAAUAAUAGAUAAUACUUUAUCAUAUAGUAGGCGACAAUAGGAAACUUCACAACAAUGAUUUCUAUUUUAAAAUUGCAUACAAUUUGCCAUAAACAAAAAUAAGGGGUUCUCUAAGAUGUUUGAACCAAUGAUUUAAUGGGGAAAAGAAUCUGAAGAAUUUACAGUUAAGUUUCACCUGUUCAUCCUACGCAUUCAUUUAUUUUUACUUCAAAGAAGGCGAAAUGAUAAUCAAGUAUCAUCUAGCAAUAUUUAAGAGUGAAAGCAACCGAUACUGAGAUGGAAGAAAGGUGAUAUACCAGACAAACAAUUUGUUUUUUGUAUAUAAUUUCAUUUCUAUAGGAUGAUACAGGUAUAUUUCAAUCAUUUAUAAGUAUGACAAUAAAAUUUGUAAUCUAAUUGUUGAGGAUGUUGAGAAAGGAGACUCUAGCUUUGAUCAAACGCCUAGACAAGGAUUAAAGGCCUUCUUCAAGAUCUUGGAUGCUGGACUCCAAUUCUUUGAGCUGGUUUUGCAAAUAAACAGUGUUAACAGAUUUGAGUGUCAAUGCGGCAUCCACCUUCUCAAACUCAUUCGUUUCUAUCUUGACUUCCUCACAAGCUAUUCUUUUGGGGCGGAUGAGUUUGGAAGCCAAUACAAACCCACUUAGCUUUGAUGGAAUCCCAGCACCCGAGAUAAAGGACAGCAAGGAUCCAAAUGCAGCUAAGGUUACUGCUUCAACCUCUUUCAACGCGCUAACAUGUUCCUCAUUGAUUAGAGAAGAGCAUUUGUUUCCCAUGCCUUGUCAAUUCGCCAAGGCCUUGUGGACUUCCUGUUUUACUGCCUUCCUAGAGGCUAUGCAUUUCUUAACCUCAGUUGCAAGUUCAAUUUCAUCUCCUCCUCUUCUGCGCAGAACUGAUUGAAGUCCUUGUGUAGAUUCCUUAAUCUGCAAGAGAGCAUUCUGAGCAAUGCUGCUAGUUUCCAAGAUCCUCAAAGAUCCAUUCAAAAGGUCAUCAACCCAUUUCUUAUGCUGGCCUUGGGCUAAAGCUUGUUGAACAAGAGGCAGUUGAAGCAUUUUAUCAACAGAAUCAUGUAAAUCUUGAAGGCCAUUUAACUCGUGGGCUAUUGAUGAAGAUAAUGAAGUAGAAGCAGCUUGAGAAUACCUUAAUCUUCUCAAAUUCUCUCCAACAUCUGAAGUGAGAGGGUGUGAUCUUGUGGGAAAGCUGUUUGAGCGAGUAUGGUAAGAGGCAGCCAUUUUUCCUUGCUGUGUAUGAAAAGACUGGAAGUUGAUUGUCAAAAUUCAAUCUAGCUCUUUUGCCUUCAUUCGGUUAACAAAUGCUAUAUAUAUAUAUAUAGACUGAGAUGAUGGGAACAAGAGGAAUCUCAUCCUCUAACAUGAUUUAGAUCUUGAUCUUAACAAUAUAUCACCUAAUUUUAUGCAAUGUCUCCUCCCACUAGCUACCCAUUUCAUUUUUUAUUCUACAAAUCACAGUAGCAUCUCUUUAUAAGCUAAUACUAUAUGGAAUUAAUGGUUCUUUGAGAUCCAUACAAAUUUGCAACGCAUGAAUGAAUUUGACUCUGUCACCUCGAAUGCAUACAAAAGAAUGCAAUACAGCUUGGCUUGCCUCCCUCUCCCUGUAGGAUAUAAAAUUAUGUUGCCGUAGGCUUUUCACAAUAUGGCUCGUUUCUCGUCAUCUACGAAAAUUAUUCAAUGUCCCUCUCCUUCCUUUCUUUCCUUUUUUUUUUUUUUUGGUUAUAAUUUUAAGUCCUUAUGCUUGAAGCCUUUUUGUUGAGCGUUCAUUUAUGCAUUUCUUCACACAUCUAUUUCCAUCAAUAGCUUUUUGUGCAAGUGCCUCGAUUAGUAAGCUAUAUAUUACACACUCUUUCAGGGUGGCUGCUUUUACACAAACCUUGCCUGGUGAAUUAGGUUGUUCCUCUCAAAAUGAUGAAAACUUAUCCCUCCACAUCUCACUGGCUGACCUCAUCCAUGUUGGUGAUCAUGACACUGAUGAAAAGAUACAGGUUAUACUUUAUUUAUAGCUAGAGUUGUCUGUUUGAAUUUUAUCAAAAUACAAGCUUCUGCUUUCCAGUUAGCAUAAAACAGGGCACAAAAUUCUCUUGGCCAAAAGGAAAUAUAGGCAGACUGAACAGACAUCAUGCUUACAUUAAUGUCUAAAAUCAAGGUCACGAAAUCGAUCCGCAGCUAUUUGACACCAAAAAUGUCACUUGGAUGCAUAAACAAUUUACUCUUAUAAGCUCCAUGAACAACUCCCAAAAUGGGCCAAAAAAAAAAAAAAAAAUCAAGAUAAACUUUUAUAUCUUACAAAGCAUGUCACAAACAUUACAGAAAUUGACAAACAAAUCAACAACAUUACAACACGUGUAACUAUUAUAAUUCUAAUUUUACCGAUUGAAGCGGUUUGUAGCCGGUUGAAAAAAGUAAGUCGGGAAGAUGAAUAAUUUCUCCUACAGCCAUUGCAACCCAAAGCGACAUGAUUUCUUCGAUCUCGCAUUCUGAGGAAACUUCCUACUUGCGCAUAUCCGCCCGCUCCGAGCGAGAAAACGAACAGAUCGAGGUCGGAAUGAGAUCCGGUGUUUUCACGUCUCACCGUAGUGCCCGGUUUGGCGGUUCAGCUUGCUUCUACGGCUCAUGUAUGAACAGCAAAACUCAUGCAGAUUGACCUGGAUGAUCCUUGGGGUUACUUUUUGAUUUUUAUGAAGAGUUUUAUCCGAUUUGUUGACAAAUAACUCAAAAAAGAAUCCCUUGUAAUUUUGAUGUGGACUAAUUGGGGAGCAAGAAAGGGUGUGCUUUUUAAAAGAUGAAGAUGCAGAGAAGGUUUUUUCUAAAGCCAAAGCCACUUCACCGUUUGUGCUGAGAGUAGUCAUCAAUGAGGUAUUAAUUUUUAACUCCAUUGAUGCAAGCUCCAAGGAACUUUUCAUGGUCGCCUGCCCCUGAAUAUUUGUAUAAAUUAAAUCUUGAAGACGUAAUGUUUGAUCAUAAAUCAAGGGGCAGGAGUUGGUGCUAUUAUAAAAAUAAAAAAUAAAAAAAAUUCAUAGUUGCUGUGAAAACCAGCUUUAAUGGCACUGAAUCGAAUUACAAAAAGGAAAAUUUCUUGCCUCCUGAAUCGAAUUCAAACAGUAACUAUGAAUUUCUUGCUUUGACCCGGUGGCCCAAGCGGUUUUCUUUCACCAGUUUUCCCAGUUUCCCAUCACUUCUUUUUUUCUGUUCAUUUCAUUCCCAUUCGUUCGAUUUUAGUGUUCACAUCUAACGGCCCUCAUUCAUGCAAUGUUUGUUACAUGAUGAUGUAACUUAACCUGACCUUUUUUACAUUCUAUUUAUAAAAAUAAAUUCAUUAUUAAAAAUUAAAAAUAUCAAAAUUACUUUUUGCUAGCUAUUUUUUAUUUUGUAAUUACAUAUUCUCUCUCUACUUUUAUAUUAUAUAAAUUAAAUUCCCAACUUUACAUUUUUUUAAAUUUAUUUUUUUGACAUUUCUUAGUAUAUUCUAAUCUAUAUUCAUACUUUAUGUAUGCAAAAUAUUUUUUUCUUGAUACUUACUAACUUUUGUGUUUAGUAAAAUUAAUUUAUUGAUAUUCAUUAAUUUUCAUUACUUAUAAAAUUUGUUAAUAUUCAUUUUAAAAUAGUGGAUUUUUUAAACUAAUGAUAUCAAUUACUUGCGGUUAAAAUAAUAUAUAUAAAUAAAUUGAUGGAAUUUAUGAAAUUGAAAAGAAAAAGAGAAGAAAUAGUUAAUUAAGUAAUUUUAAAAAAAAUAUUCAAAUAAUAUAAUUGUUAAGCGGGGGCUAUUUGAACACACCAAUUUUCUCUCUACAUUCUUUUUCUAAUUGAGAAUUUUAUUAUCUAAAUAGUUUUCAGUAAAAUUACUUAAUUAACUCUUUCUUCUCUUUCUCAUCUCAAGUUCACAAAUUCCCAUCAAUCCAUUGAGAUAUAUUCUUUUAGUAACAAAUAAUUGAUAUCACAAACUAGGGAAAACAAAAUCCACAGUUUAAAUUAAAUGUCAACAAAAUUUUAUGAGUCAUGAAAGUUAAUAAAUAUCAAGAAAUUAAAUUUUACUAAACAGAAAAUUAAUGAACAUCAAGAAAAAGUUUUUAUAUAUAAAAAGUAUGAAAUAGAGGUCAUGAUCUAUUAGAAAAGACCAAAAAUGAAUUUAAAAAAUAGUGAAACUGAGUCUUUAGUUUAUAAAAUGUGAGAAUUUGCAAUUGUCAGGUAUAGAGAGAGAUUCAUGAAAGGUAAUCUUGAUAUUUUCAAAUAGUCCCAUCUAAUAUUUGAUUGGAAAGAGCGUGUGGACAGAAAAUUAGCGGACUCAAAUAGCCCCACUCUUUCUUUAAUUUCGCAUUGACCCCGAUUAUUUUGUGAUUUUCUCCUUUUAGUCAAUAUUAAUUGUUGUUACUGGAUUUUCCCCUGAGACCUAGAGCGAGCCCAUAACGUUCAUGCUCGAGGACUUCCCUGCCCCGAGAACCAAGCCCAAUAAUCUUGAGGCCUUUGCAGGUUUAUCCAGGAAAGGUGCCUCUGCUAGGAUAAGAAAAGUCAAUUCGGGUUGUGAGUCGAUCCUCAGCCUAGUAAGUGAUGACAGCGUACAGUAAUGAUCUUUGACAAACAUCAAAAGAUCGAUUAAUAUGAAAAUGACGAUGUGCUCGUUUUGCAUUUGUUAUUCUUCAGUCACAUCCUCUUUUGCUUCUGUCUGCCUUUACAACAACAAUUUACCAUCAACCUUCAAGCAUUCUUGCACAAACAGCCAAAAAAACACCAAAUAUCAUCGCCCCACUUGCCCUUGUUUAGUUUUUUUCAAGCUCACAGCCAAUCUCAGUACACUGGGAUAAAGACUAGAAGCAGAGAACAGCCGCUGCCAGCUCUAGAAGAUGUGAAAUAAAGAAGACCAUCAAAAUCCUUAAUUAUUGCUUGUCUAUGUCAAGGUUUUAAAGAUAAACAAUCUUGAUAGGCUUUCUUACGUAAGACAUAUAGAUCCAACGAAAAUUAGAUGAAACGUUUAGACACAAGACUUUUAACUUUGAUAUCGUAUAAAGAGUAUAUUUAUAAUAUAAUCUAUUGUUUGGCACAUCGUCUCUGAGUCUCAAUAAAAAAAUUUUAAGUUUUUCGUUGCUAGCUUCUUAAAUUUUCAUGUAUUAUACAUAAUAUAUUAUGAGUGAGGAGUCAUAAACUAAUGAAUAUGGAAACUUAGGAUAAAAAGUUUGAGAUUUUUUUAAAUAAUUUAUGUAGGUAUUUUAUUUUAUAGAAGUCCAUGGACUUACUCAAAUGCUAACUAAGACUUGAGGGUUGCCUAAACUUUUAUAUACCUAACCAAAAAUUUAUUAUCAAACAAUGUGAGAUAUUAUCCCUAACCCUUAACGGUGUGGAGUACAAUCCUUAAUAACAUAUUCCUUUGAAGAAAUUAAAAGAAAAAAAACUUAGUUCGGUAUUUCAAAAAGGGGAGAUUGCCAAAUUCUCUUUAUUGUUAUUGAUAUAUAUCAUUUACCCUCUUAACGGUUUUUAUAAUAGCCAAUAACCCCUUAACAACAUUAGUUUAUAAUAUUAUUCAUAUUUUCAAAUACACUUUUAUUUUUAUUUAUUAUAAAUUAAAUAAAUCAUAUGAAUAGAAACUGAAUAAAAAAUAAGUAUUAAAAACAAUAAAUAUAUGUUUUGAUGUGAACAAAAAAAUUAGUAAUAAAAUUUUUUCUUGUACUUUUUUAUUUUCUAAACAUUUUCUUCUAAUAAAUAUUUUGUAAAUUAUAAAAUUAAAUGUAAAAAGUACAAUAACAAUAUUUUAUUAUUUAUUUUAUAAUAAUUUUUUUAUCAUUUUAUAGUAAUUUUCUUAUAUAUUUAUUAUAAGAAAAUAUUUAUAAAAUAAAAAGUAUAAGAAAAAUAAUUUAUUAUUAAUUUUUAUAUCAAAAUAUAUAUUUCUUAUUUUUAAUACUUAAUUUUUUAUUUUAAUUUCUAUUCAUAUGAUUUAUUUAAUCUAAAAUAAAUAUGAAUAAGAGUGUAAUUAAAAAUAAGGGUAAUAUUAUAAAUUUAUACAAUUAAGAGAGUUAUUAGUUAUUAUAAAAAUAAUAAGAGACAAAUGUUAUAUAUCGAUUACAGUAUUGGGAAAAUUAGCAACCUCUCUUCAAAAAACCUUGACAUAUACGUUCUAUAAAUAUAACCCUCUAGCCAAAGCUGUGACAUACACCAAGCAGAGGAUAAUUGAUAUCAUAACUGUUGCUUUCAAAAUGAGGCUUAUUGGGUCCUUACUAAUUUUCUCUCUAGUUUUAUCUUUUGUACUAGGAGGCUCAGCACAGAACUGUGGAAGCGGCGUUGUGUACGGUGGACGUGAUACCGGCCAUGGGACGCAUGGCGGUGAACUGGGCAAGAUCAUCUCAAGGGAGAUGUUUGAUGACUUGCUUGAGUAUAGAAAUGAUGAACGAUGCCCUGCCAGAGGCUUCUACACUUAUGAUGCUUUUAUAGAGGCAGCCCAAGCUUUUCCAGGCUUUGGUAACUCUGGAAAUGAAACCAUGCGUAAAAGAGAAAUCGCUGCCUUUUUUGCCCAAACUGGCCAUGAAACUACUGGUUUGUUUCAAUUCCUGAUCAGCUUAAUUAAAUUUAAAGAUUCCUUUUUCCGGUGCACUAACAAGCAAUGUGCAAGUAUUAAAUUAUAAAUAAACAGCAUCACCCAAUCUCCAAUCGAUAUUUUAAUUUGUUACUAAUCAAUUUUUGCGGUUAAUAAACUUACAGGGGGAUGGCCCGAUGCACCUGGUGGCGAAUAUGCUUGGGGAUAUUGCUUUAUAAGCGAAGUUAGCCCUCCGUCCGACUACUGUGAUCCUAACUAUCCAUGUCGAGGGAAGUACUAUGGCCGAGGUCCAAUUCAACUCUCUUGGUAGGCUGAACAUUUUGAAUUAGUAUAUCAUUGUCUGAUCUGAAUGAGAAAGUCUUGGCCUCUUUAAUUAAAAACUUGUUAAAUGUGUAUUUACAUUCUGUCGAACAUUAAUUAUUAACUAAUUUGUUGGUGUUUAGGAAUUACAAUUACUUACGGUGCGGAGAAGGCCUAGGGCUAGGAGAGGAGUUGUUGAACAAUCCAGACCUUCUUGCUACUGAUCCAGUACUAUCAUUCAAGUCAGCAAUCUGGUUCUGGAUGACUGCACAGCCACCAAAGCCAUCGUGCCACGAAGUCAUUAUCGACGAAUGGAAACCAUCAGCAAAUGACGUAAACGCCGGCCGGCUUCCGGGAUACGGUCUAACCACAAAUAUAAUCAACGGUGGAAUUGAAUGUGGCCAAGGUGGGAAUGCCGCUGUACGUAACCGUAUUGGGUUCUUUACCACUUUCUGUGGCAAGUUUGGGAUUCAGCCUGGUGACAGUCUUGAUUGCUACAACCAACGACCUUAUGGCCUUAAUCUGAUGGCACAAUCUAUGUGAUCAUCAUGAUCAACGUUUUAGUAAAAUAAGCUUAAUAAAAGCUACUUAAUAAAAACUUUAGAUGUCACACUUGUAGGUGGACAACUAAAUUGUUAGUUUGUUACGCUCUUAUUGUAAGUAAAUUAAAUAAGACUGAUCCAACAUGGAUCAAUGAGUCUUCACCAUCUUUCAUCGUUUGAUUAUUUUUUUGAGUUUUUUUGUUAAAAUUUUGUACGUUUGUGGUUAGUUAUUUUAACAAAAUAAUUAGUCGAGAAAGGUAAAUGUUUUGGGGGUGAGAAAUACCACGAUCAGGCACACGAGGAGAAUGUGCUCCCUCUGCCUAGAAUGACUCCUUGAGGAAGAUUAGACCCGAUGAAGUGUGUGGCUGGUCACACGAGUAGAGUUGGCUCGAGACAUGCAAGGAGGGACCAGAACCAAGUCAAUUCGAAGACUUGGUCAAAGGUCAACCCGUGGGUUUCCUCCAAAGAAUUUGGGCACAAAGCUCACUCACCAGCAGUUACACUGCCCAUUCGCCCAUGGUUAUGUAAUCAACCCAUCAACGAAGUCGAGGGAGAAGAGGCUAAUAAUUCUGGUUGGAUAUGAAAGCUUCAGAGAACAGAGUUAAGGGAGUUAGACAACUUUUCAUUUAAUUUUCUCAUACUCUCAAUCUAUUCACAAUUUUAUCUUCUCUAUCAUUCUUUCUUUCUGAAAUAAAACCUUUCUUUUAUUUAGAGCAGUUUAAUUACGCCAUGGGAAUCGUGACCUAAGUUUUUCUAGGCAAACCCAAAUCGCUGACUUGAGCGUCGGAGGGAUUACGGUGGAAAAACCUCUAGCAUCUCCUGACUAGUUGUUGUGAACACAUGUGUUCUUGGAGGAAGUAUUUGAGGUCACAUGAACUUGUUCGAUACUGGGGAAGCUAGGGGCAGAUCCAGGAUUUUAAAGUACCCCGAGCUAAAUUUUUUAUAAAAAAAAGUUAUAUUGUAAAGUGAACAUAAAAUUUUAUAAGAAAAAAAUAAAAUACACAUAAUAAGAUGAGAACAUUAGAAAUCUUACACUAAAUAAUAAUUACUUUAAAUAAAAUAAUUAUAUAAAAAUAAAAAAUAAAAAUAUAAUUCAAAACAAAAAUAUAACUAAAGUUGUAUUUUUCGCAACUUCAAACAAUAAAGUUCAUCAAUUAUGGAUUUUGGAUCAAUAGUAUCUGCAAUUUCUCUUUCAGCAUAGACAACCAUACAAUUAGAAAGAAACUCAUUUUCUAUUUUAUUGCAAAGUGAUGUCUUGAUAAGGCUCAUGGUUGAAAAUGCAUGCUCUGUUUGUGGCUGCAAAUGAAAGGAAUUUCUUGACUUGGAUUUAUCGGACACAUUAUACCUAUAAAUUACCAUAACAUGAAACUACAUAAGAAUUAAUAAAUUAAUUAAUAAUUACAAGCUUAAUUAGCAUGCUUAAAUAAAUUAAACAAUUCAAUUUUUUUCAUCUUUUCUAUUUCUAAAAAAUAUUAUUAGUAAAAAAAUGAGAUGAAGAUUACACGAAAUUGCAGAUACUAUUAUUAGUAAACAAUUCACACUUGACUAACAUGCAAACAACACAUUGAGUCCUUGCCAAUUCCAAGACUUGCGAUAACCAGUUGCACAAUAUAUAAACAAAUUUUUAGAAAUACAAAUCAUGAAAUUUCCCCCCCAAAAAAAAAAAAAAAAAAUCCAAUUUGUAUUGAGCCAGCCAUUGUGAUUAAGCUUUCUAAAUUCUAAUAGCAUUUGAGUGAAUUUUAAAAAACGAUAUACCAGAUUAAACUUACUAAAAUAUUAAAAAAAUAGAAAAUCAAAUUACAUACGAAACCCUAGAUUGUUACUUCAAUCAAAAUAAGUACCUUCUAAUAAUUUUAAAUGCAGAUUUGAGAACUCAAAAAUACCACAAUUGAAUUCGAGUGUUAUUAAUUAGGGUUUUAAUGAGAAUGAAAAACACUGAGGAAACUGGGAACGUGCAGGAUAAAAAGCAUUACCAGUGGAAGCGUAAGAUAGAGAACGGCAAGUUAACGUGCGCCUCGAGGAAUAGAGAUAGAGAGAGAGAGAGAGACGAGCACCCCAAGCACUGUAAGUAACUGGGAGUGGAGAAAUGGCACGAGUGGAAAAUAAAGGGGUCGUUUGGUUUUGUCGUCUUCUACUUUUGUUUUGUGUUUUUUUUUUUUUUUAAAUGAGCGUGGGUAUCUGAAUCAUCCAAUUUUUUUUUAUAUUCUAUUUAUAAAAAUAAAUUCAUUAUUAAAAAUUAAAAAUAUCAAAAUUACUUUUUACUAAUUAUUUUUUAUUUUAUAAUUACAUAUUCUCUCUCUACUUUCACAUUCUAUAAAUAAUUUUUAAGUAAUUUUUUACAAAUCAUUCAGAUAAUAUAAUUUUUAAGAGUGAGGUUAUUUGAAUCCACCAAUUUCAUCUCUAUAUCUUUUUCUAAUUGAGAAUUUUAUUAUCUAAAUAGUUUUUAAUAAAAUUACUUAAUUAACCCUUUCUUCUCUUUCUUAUUUCAAUUUCACAAAUUCUCAUUAAUUCAUUGAGAUGUAUUCUUUUAACUGCAACUAGGAAAAAUAAAAUCCACAGUUAAAAUUGAAUGUCAACAAAUUUUUAUGAGUCAUGAAAGUUAAUGAAUAUUAAGAAAUUAAUUUUUAGUAAACACAAAAGUUAAUGAAUAUCAAGAAAAAGUUCUUAUAUAUAGAAAGCAUGAAAUAAAGGUUAUGAUCUACUAGAAAAGACCAAAAAUGAAUUCAAAAGAUAGUAAAAUUGAGUUUUUAAUUUAUAGAAUGUGAGAAUAAAAAGAGAAUAUGCAAUUGUAAGGUAUAGAGAAAGAUUAAUCGAGGAUAAUCUUGAUAUUUUCAAAUUUUAAAAUUUUAAUAAUGAAUUUAUUAUUUUUUAAAAAUAGGUAUAGAGAGAAAUUUGGUGGGAUCAAAUAGUCCCACCUAAUAUUUAAUUAGAAAGAUGGUGUAAGGAGAAAAUUGGCAGAUUCAAAUAGCCCUACUCUUUCUUUAAUUUUGCAUUGACCCCGGUUAUUUUAUGAUUUUCUCCUUUUAGUCAAUAUUAAUUGUUGUUACUGGAUUUUCCCCUGAGACCUAGAGCGAGCCCCUAAUGUUCAUGCUCGUGGACUUCCCUGCCCCGAGAACCAAGCCCAAUAAUCUUGAGGCCCUUGCAGGUUUAUCCAAGAAAGGUGCCUCUGUCAGGAUAAGAAAAGUGAAUUGGGGUUUUGAGUCGAUUUUCAGCCUAAUAACAGCGUACGGUCAUGAUCUUUGACAAACAUCAAAAGAUCGAUUAAUAUGAAAAAAUCCAUCACAAUAACCAUGUGUAUGAGUGUGAGUGUGAGUGUGAGUGUGAGCGUGAGUUAUUUUAAUUUCUAGGCAUUUAUUGAAUGAAAUUGACGAUUGCUCGUUUUGAAUGUGUUAUUUUUCAGUCACAUCCUAUUUUUGCUUCUAUCUGUCUUUACGACAAAAUUUUAUCAUCAACCUGCAAGCAAUCAUGCACAAGCAGCCAAAAAAAAACCUAUUAUCAUCGCCCCACUGGCUCUUAUUUUCAAGCUCAAAACCAAUCUCAGUACAUUGGGAUAAGGCGAGAUGCAGAGAACAGCCACUGCCAGCUCUAGAAGAUGUGAAAUAAAGAAGACUAUCAAAAUCCUUAAUUAUCGCUUGUCUAUAUCAUGGUUUUAAAGACAAACAAUCUUGAUGGGCUCUCUUACAUAAGACGUAUAGAUCCAAUGAAAACUAGAUCGAAACGUUUAGACACAAGACUUUUGCUUUGAUAUCAUAUAAAGAGUAUAUUUAUAAUACAAUGUAUUAUUGUUUGGCACAUUGUCUCUAAGUCUCAAUAAAAAAAUUUAAGUUUUUCGUUGUUAAGUUCUUAAAUUUCAUGUAUUAUACAUAAUAUAUUAUGAGUUGGGAGUCAUAAACUCAUGAAUAUGGAAACUCAGGAUAAAAAGUUUGAGUUUUUUUUUAAAUAAUUUAUUUAGGUAUUUUUUUUAUAGAAGUCCAUGGACUUACUCAAAUGCUAACUAAGUCUUGAGGGUUGCCUAAGCCUUUAUAUACCUAACCAAAAAUUUAUUAUCAAACAAUGUGAGAUAUUAUCUCUAACCCUCAAUGGUGUGGAGUACAAUCUUUAAUGACAUAUUCCUUCGAAGAAAUUUAAAAAAAAAAAAAAAAAAACUUGGUUAGGUAUUUCAAAAAGGGGAGAUUGCCAAAUUCUUUUUAUUAUAAUUAAUAUAUAUCAUUUACCCCCUUAACUGUUUUUAUAAUAGCCAAUAACUCCUUAACAACAUUAGUUUAUAAUAUUAUCCUUAUUUUCAAAUACACUUUUAUUUUUAUUUAUUAUAAAUUAAAUAAAUCAUAUGAAUAGAAACUGAAUAAAAAAUAAGUAUUAAAAACAAUAAAUAUAUGUUUUGAUGUGAACAAAAAAAUUAGUAAUAAAAUUUUUUCUUGUACUUUUUUUAUUUUCUAAACAUUUUCUUCUAAUAAAUAUUUUGUAAAUUAUAAAAUUAAAUGUAAAAAGUACAAUAACAAUAUUUUAUUAUUUAUUUUAUAAUAAUUUUUUAUUUAUCAUUAAAGUUUUCUUAUAAUAAUUUUUUUAUCAUUUUAUAAUAAUUUUCUUAUAUAUUUAUUAUAAGAAAAUACUUAUAAAAUAAAAAGUACAAGAAAAAUAUUUUAUUAUUAAUUUUUAUAUCAAAAUAUAUAUUUUAUAUUUUUAAUACUUAAUUUUUUAUUUUAAUUUCCAUUCAUGUAAUUUAUUUAAUCUAUAAUAAAUAUGAAUGAGAGUGUGAUUGAAAAUAAGGGAAAUAUUAUAAAUUUAUAUUAUUAAGAGAGUUAUUAGUUAUUAUAAAAAUAAUAAGAGAUAAAUAAUAUAUAUUUAUUACAGUAUAGGAACAAUAAAAUUCUUCAAAAAACCUUGACACAUACGUUCUAUAAAUAUAACCCUCUAGCCAAAGCUGUGACAUACACCAAGCAGAGGAUAAUUGAUAUCAUAACUGUUGCUUUCAAAAUGAGGCUUAUUGGGUCCUUACUAAUUUUCUCUCUGGUUUUAUCUUUUGUACUAGGAGGCUCAGCAGGGAACUGUGGAAGCGGCGUUGUGUGCCCAGGAGGGGAGUGUUGUAGUCGAUUUGGUUGGUGUGGCCUAACAACAGACUACUGUUGUGAAGGCUGCCAAAGUAACUGUAAUCAGGUUGUUUGCGGUGAAUGUGAUCCCGACGACGGGACGGCUGGUGAUGGCGGUGAACUGGGCAAGAUCAUCUCAAGGAAGAUGUUUGAAGACUUGCUUGAGUAUAGAAAUGAUAAACGAUGCCCUGCCAGAUGCUUCUACACUUAUGAUGCUUUUAUAGAGGCAGCCAAAGCUUUUCCAGCCUUUGGUAAUUCUGGAAAUGAAACCAUGCGUAAAAGAGAAAUUGCUGCCUUUUUUGCCCAAACUGGCCAUGAAACUACUGGUUUGUUUCAAUUCCUGAUCAGCUUAAUUAAAUUUAAAGACUCCUUUUUCCGGUGCACUAACAAGUAAUUAAAUUUUAAUUUGUUACUAAUCAAUUUUUGUGGUUAAUAAACUUACAGGGGGAUGGCCCGAUGCACCUGGUGGCGAAUAUGCUUGGGGAUAUUGCUUUAAUAGGGAAGUUGGCGCUGCGUCGUCCGACUACUGUGAUCCUAACUAUCCAUGUCGAGGGAAGUACUAUGGCCGAGGUCCAAUUCAACUCUCUUGGUAGGCUGAACAUUUUGAAUUAGUAUAUCAUUGUCUGAUCUGAAUGAGAAAGUCUUGCCCUCUUUUAUUAAAAACUUGUUAAAUGUGCACUUACAUUCUAUCGAACAUUAAUUAUUAACUAAUUUGUUG